GCCUUCGUGUUGCAGUGGUCAGCACACUCGGCUCGUAUUCGAGCGAUCCUUGGUUCGAGUCCCGGCGAAAACA
rnacentral:tRNA from 1 species